rnacentral:rRNA from 1 species
GUACACGCUGUGACUAGCAUAUCAAUAAGCGGAGGAAAAGAAACUAACAAGGAUUCCCCUAGUAACGGCGAGUGAAGCGGGAAGAGCUCAAAUUUGAAAUCUUAAAGGGUUUCCCUUUACGAAUUGUAGUUUAAAGAAGUGUUUUCUGUUGAGGUUUUGGUAAAAGUUCUUUGGAAUAGGACAUCAUAGAGGGUGAGAAUCCCGUAUUUGACCUUUACUUUCAACUUUGUGAUACACUUUCAAAGGGUCGGAUUGUUUGGGAAUGCAGUCCAAAAUGGGUGGUAAAUUUCAUCUAAAGCUAAAUAUUGGCGAGAGACCGAUAGCGAACAAGUACCGUGAGGGAAAGAUGAAAAGAACUUUGAAAAGAGAGUUAAACAGUACGUGAAAUUGUCAAAAGGGAAGCGUUUGACACCAGUGUUGUUUUUCUGAAAAUCAAUUAAAGAACUGUUUAUGCUAAGUUGUUUAGACUUUAUCAGCUAUCUGUUUAGUUUUGAGCUUUUCUUUAAUGCACUUUUCAGUUAACAAGUCAACAUCAAUUUCUUUUGCUGUAAAAAAGCUUGAGGAAGGUGGCUUGAGAUUCGUCUUAAGUGUUUAUAGCCUCUUGCCUAUGCAGUCGGAGAGAUUGAGGUCUGCAGCGUAGAUCCUUCGGGGCUAAAUGCAUUUGUGCUAAGUUAUAGCAUUUUAUAGACAACUUGUUGACUAUGAUUUGUCUUGUAGCUUACUCGCUUAUGUUAUUUUACCUACGCUUAGGAUGUUGACUGAUAUGUAGUCGUA